AAAGUAGAUUCAUUUUAAAUUAUUAUUCUCGAUCCAAUUUUAUCAAAUAUUCUAGACAAAAUAAUUUUGAACAGCUAGGGAAAAUCAUUUUGUCUAGAAAAAUGUAUCAGCAACCUCCGGGAGAGAUGGUGCCGUAUCAACAACCACCAGGAGGCAUGGCGCCGUAUUAUCCAAGGCAGCCGCCACCAACACCAACAGGGAUGCUGCCUAGCAAUCGGAUAGUUGUAAUUGCACCACAUUUCUGCGUACCAUAUCCAGUAGAUCUUACCAUUGCAAAGAAAAGACUAACUAUAUCGGAAGGUAACUUUGGUGUUUACGAUAUCAAUGGCAAUAACAUCUUUAAAGUUCAAGGUACGCUUCUUAGCAUUCGCGACCGGCCUAUUCUUGUUGAUGCUGCCGGUGUUCCUCUUGUAACUCUACAGCAGAAGAUUUUGACUUGCCAUAGGAGAUGGCAAGUAUAUAGAGGAGACAGCUCAGAUUCAAAAGAUUUGUUGUUCAGUGUCAAGAAAUCUAAGCUUUUGCAGCUCAAGACGAGUUUGCAUGUUUUCUUAGCAUCGAACACCGCUGAAGAAGUCUGUGAUUUUAAGAUCAAAGGAAGCUAUUAUGCACAUUCUUGUGUCAUCUAUCAUGGGAAUUCGAAUAACAUUGUUGCUCGGAUGCACAUGGAACACACGGUUCAAAGUAUGUUUCUCGGGAAGGAUACCUACUCUAUUACCAUCUACCCGAACGUCGAUUAUGCAUUCGUUGUCGCCCUGUGUGCGGUUCUUAAUGAAAUCAAUAUGGACAGAAGUGGUGAAGAUUAAGCUCUUGGAAAUCAACUUCAUACUGUGUAAAUUUAUUCAAGAACCCCAAGAUCAAAGAUGUCGUAGAACAGAUCUAAAGGACUAGCUAGAGAGCUUGGAAAUUGCAUAAAUAUGAUGCUGUCUAUAUAAUCUAAAGAUGCAAAAGAGUACGAAUUGAAGUGUUACUUGAAAGCCUGUGCAGAAAUUAGACGGGCAGUCCCGGUGCUGUGUGCUUAGUGUGUGAGCUUAUUUUUCAUUUGCUUUAGCAAUUGCUGAUACUAGAAAGUUGCACAUAACAUCAUUUUUAUGAGUAUUUAUGGAGUAGAUAUUGGAUAGUAUGCAGCAGAUACGCUAUGUGAGUAGUAAUUGCCUUAAAUAAUGUUUUAAGGAUUUUAUGGGAGUUUACUGAAUGAUUU